CCGAAACUUAUUGGUUUUAUUUUAGUCCUGCUAAGUCUUAAAAUCUGUGGUUCAAAUCCAUAGAAGUUUCGAUGCCACUAAAUAUACAAAAAAUCAUAAUAAUUAUAAAAUCUUCUCUUAUUAUUAUCCUAUUUUCUAGCAUAUUUUUUUUCCAACUAACA
rnacentral:tRNA from 1 species